rnacentral:tRNA from 1 species
GUAGCCUAAUGGUUAUAGUAGCUGACUUGAAAUGAAUCGCCCUAGGUUCGAUUCCUAGGAACU